rnacentral:rRNA from 1 species
CAGCUCAAAUUUGAAAUCUGGCCCUUCCGGGGUCCGAGUUGUAAUUUGUAGAGAGUGCUUCGGGGGAGAGUGCGGUCUAAGUCCAUUGGAACAUGGUGUCAUAGAGGGUGAGAAUCCCGUACGUGACCGCGGAUCGAACCCGUGUGAAGCCUCUUCGACGAGUCGAGUUGUUUGGGAAUGCAGCUCAAAAUGGGUGGUAAAUUUCAUCUAAAGCUAAAUAUUGGCUGGAGACCGAUAGCGCACAAGUAGAGUGAUCGAAAGAUGAAAAGCACUUUGGAAAGAGAGUUAAACAGUACGUGAAAUUGUUGAAAGGGAAGCGCUGGCAACCAGACCUGCCCGUAGGCGAUCAACCGCUGUUCUCAGCGGUGCACUCGUUCUGCGAUCAGGCCAGCAUCGGUUUCGGCGGUCGGAUAAAGGCCUUGGGAAUGUAGCUUCCUUUCGGGGGAGUCUUAUAGCCCUCGGUGCAAUGCGGCCAGCCGGGACCGAGGACCGCGCUUCGGCUAGGAUGCUGGCGUAAUGGUUGUCAGCGACC